rnacentral:rRNA from 1 species
ACGCUCGACACCUACGGGAGGCAGCAGUGGGGAAUAUUGCACAAUGGGGGAAACCCUGAUGCAGCGACGCCGCGUGGAGGAAGAAGGUCUUCGGAUUGUAAACUCCUGUUGUUGGGAAAAGAGGAUGGUACCCAACAAGGAAGUGACGGCUAACUACGUGCCAGAGCCGCGGUAAUCUGAGGCGGGCGUGGCGAAGGAC